GGGUGAUUAGCUCAUUAGGUAGAGCGUCCCGUUUACACCGGGGAGGUGAAUGGUUCGAAUCCGUUAUGACCCA
rnacentral:tRNA from 1 species